rnacentral:rRNA from 1 species
AAAUUGAAGAGUUUGAUCAUGGCUCAGAUUGAACGCUGGCGGCAGGCCUAACACAUGCAAGUCGAACGGUAGCACAGAGAGCUUGCUCUCGGGUGACGAGUGGCGGACGGGUGAGUAAUGUCUGGGAAACUGCCUGAUGGAGGGGGAUAACUACUGGAAACGGUGGCUAAUACCGCAUAACGUCGCAAGACCAAAGAGGGGGACCUUCGGGCCUCUUGCCAUCAGAUGUGCCCAGAUGGGAUUAGCUUGUUG